CAGCCUGACAAAUGUCCCUAUUCCAUAAGGACCACAAACAAAACUACAACCUGAGAGAAUGUAAUCAAUCACAAAAGGGCUUUCCUUAAUAUAUAAAGAGCUCCUACAAAUCAAUACUUAUAUAGCACCUGUUAUACAGCACCCACAGAUCUAGGCACCUGAUGUAAAUUGACCCAGCUUCUCAUCACAACCACUCUACGACGCAGGUGUACUGUUAUGUCCCAUUUUACAGGUAACACUGAGACACCAAGAGGCUGACGAGCCUGCCCAAGCUAAGUCACACAAAGUACAUCGAGGAGCUGGGCUCAGGGAAGGCAAUAUGGCUGGGGGCCGGCUGGUCGUUAAGCACAGUGCCAUCCAACCUCAGUGAUUAAAGGCCAACAGGGAUCAUGCGUAGGACAGGUGGUUUUCCUAAUACACACGUCAGGCUGCUGAGCCUCACUCACGACAAGUGAAAAAACAAGGACAUGUCAUUUUCCACCAGGAUGCAAGUCUGAUAACCACCCCCUUGGCAAGGAUGUGGGGAGACCGGCCCUUCUGAAUGCAGCACCGUGUCCAGGCCCACCUCUGGGGACCGCAAUCUGACAACUGUCCCAAACCAGAAGCACGUGUCCCCCCUUACCCAGGGACUCCUGUCCAGGAACCCAUGCUACAGAUACACACGUGGCCGGAAGUGAGGGCAAAGCCAGUCUCUCCCACACUGCUGACAUGUCAGAAUCCCGGAAAAACACCCGUGCCCUCAGCUGGGGGUGGGCAAAGUCAGCCCUGCAAUGUGGGGUGAUCGUACCAAUGUGACCGCAAGGAACACCCACAGACACAACUGGAACAGCAAGUGUGCACACAGAUGCGAGCACAACGCCAUCGUCUCUAACACAGCAAGAGAUGGAUGCCCAGAGGGGUUAAGAUACUUGCCCAAGGACCCACAGCUAGUUUAAGGGACAGAGCCAGGACUGAAGUAGGUCAUCCAGCUUCAGCGUGUGAGCUUAGGGUCAGUAACCUCGCAGGAGUUCAGGGGGAAUUUUCUUGGGAGAAGGGUGUAAUUCUCACACACAUUGGGACACUGUGGAGUGACAAAGACCCUUCCCUGAGAUACCCACAGACCGUGGACGCUGUGGUGGCACAGGGGCUUGUAAGAACGUGUUUCUGUCCCUGGAGAGAUCCAGAAACAACCAGUAUGCGGGGGGGGGGGGGGGGGGUGCCUCCGGGGUAAGAUGGGGGUCAACAGGGAAAGGGGUUACCUUUUUCCAAGUCCGCUUUAUAAUCUUUUUUUUUUUUAGCUAAGUUAUCUAUUACCUAGUUUUAAAAGCCCAUUUUUUCUCGGGUCCCAUGUGUCUCGGUGGAGUCCACGGACUCAGAGGGCCAGCCCACACCCUGGGGGUGAGGGCAGAGGCCAGGCCCCGGGGGGUGGGGGGACCACAUGGGCCUCCGAGCGAGCGCCUCCUCCAAGCAGGGGAGCUGACUCACUGCCAGCAAGAGAGGAAGAAGCGUUGCCCACAAGCAGGUGUGCGGUGCGGCCGGGAUGGGGAAGGAAGGAGGGCGGGGGCUCCAGGAGGGGGAGGACAGGGAAAGGUGUGAGGCGGAGAAGGCAGGGGGGCCGCUCUCCUGGCCCCAGGACACAGUGUCUCUGUGCCCAGUGCCCGGCUUCCAGGUAUUUGCUGUCACACUGGACCCGUGCCCUGCCCGUCACCUCACGUCACGCCACAGCCCCCAAGGCCACGGCCCAGCUCUGAAGGGGGAGGGGGAGAGCAGGGGAGGAGGGAGGAGGCCACCAAAACACAGACAGCCGGGCUGGGAACUUCCCCUCAGCCAGGGGCUGGUCCCGUGGCCUCCGUAAACAGGUUUCAAAAUCAUUAGUCAGCACUUUGGCCCGCAGAUCUGCGGCCUCAGGUUCCCCGUCCCCAAACUGGGUGUCCAGGGUCCUGGACGCUCGCCGAAGCGGGGCCCCACCUCGGGCCCUGGGGACCUGGGGGCGGUGAGGAAACCCGGCUGAGGCCUCCUGAGCCCGCUGGGCCUGACCGCCUCCCAGCCGCUGCUGCUCGGGCCUGGGCUGUCUGGCCCCAACUGCCAGCAAGAAGGAAUCUCCCUCAGCCCCUCCCCUCCCCCAGCCUGACGCAGGAAGAGACUGGCCAAUGCCCUGCCGCUGGAGCAAUGUCAACAAACAACCAGCCAGCCCAGACAGGUGGGCCAGGCCGGCAGGACUGCCCUGCCCCGGGCCUGCCUACGCCGAGGACAGGACCCAUGGUCAGGGCCACAGGGCCAGACAGCCCCUGAGGGCUGUGCAGUAGCUAGCCAGACCUCGAACAGUCAGAGUAACUCCAAUGGGGGUGCUCCCUGGUGCCUGUGGUAUGCAGGCAGCCGGGGGCGGUGGGGCCCUCCCAACGUGCCCUGAGAAGCCCGGGCCCAGAACUGGGCCGAGAAUGGAGAAUCAAGUCUCCAGAGUCCUGGGCAGGCCAGACAGAGAUAUAUACCCACAGGUGCUCAGCUCCUUCUCCCAACAUGAGACACCGGACUAGAACCUCCCGCCACUGACCAGGGUCUCCGGCACUUGGCUGGUCUAGGACCAGGCUGUGCCCAGGCCAGCCUGGGAGCGUAGCGUACCCCCUCCCCACCGAGAAUGCAGCCUGGAGCCUUACCUGGAAGUCAUACAAAGCCACGAUGUUUUCAUGUUUCAAUUCCUAGGACAGAAACCCAAGUUUCUUAUGACCAAGGCAGGCUCACCCAGCACCCUCUUCCCCUAUCACUUCCAACGCCCGCUCACCUUGAGGAUCUUGAUUUCCUUCCCCAGCAGUGUCUGGGACUUGGCCAGAUUCUUCUUGUUGAUGCACUUGACUGCGACCUCCAGGUCGUGCUUCUGAAAACCAAGCGUAAAGGUUCCUCAGGGGCCAGGAAUCCCAGAACCAUAGAAGGCCACCCCCAGGCCAGUAUGAGGUCAGCCACGGCACCCCUGGGGUCACUUUCCAUUCCCUCCGUUGUCCAGGACCAACUGCGUUCGCCCAGGCCCCCCAGAGCUGCUGGAGCAGAGUAAGAGGGCUUCAGGAGUGGGUGGAGAUGGGGAGAUAAGAGGGGUGAUAAUUGCACAAAAGGUCAUGAAAUUGCAUCAGAGGAGAGUGUGAAGAAUAGGCAGGACAGAGGGUGGGGGCACAGGGUUGCCGGAGGGGGCUGGUCCCCGGGGCAUGACCCCAGCCCGCCCUGGGAAAGAGAUUUUCCAGGAAGGACAGUGAAGUUAGGGGCGGGCUGGGGUGGGGGGAGGCUUUGCAUUUGGAACAGGUUACUGAGCCCCCAAGGGGAGGCCCCCCAAGGCACCCAAUUCCAGCUCCUCGGGCCCUGUUGGUCACCUCCAGGUUCCUCCCUUCUCUCAUUGUCGGUGCUCAUACCCUCAUUAUUCAGAUUCCUUAUCUGCAAAUCUGUGCACUCACUACCUUUUGCUGUGACCUCCAGAUCAGAACUCACAAGGUUUCCUGGGCGUACAUUCCCAGCUGAGGGUGAGUGAGCAGGCACCCUGACCUUCCGUCCGGGGCGGCCCUCUCCUACCAAAGGGUCCGAACGAGAACUAUGUGGGCUGCCUGUAGGCAACACUAUAGGAACUGGCUCUCACAGCCACAGUGACCCUCGGGGGUAGGUUUGAUCCCUAUUCCCACUCACCUCAGGGAGGAGAAACUGAGGGCCAGAGAAGUGAAGUGACUCACCCCAUGUCACACAGCUAUGCGGCCGCUCGAGGAUUUAAACCCGCACCCCCUCUGGCUCCUGCACUGCAUCCGUCUCCAAAGCAAGGACUCGGUCCUGUCCAUCUCUGCCCUCCAGUGUUCUGCCCGAGACCCAGCAAACAGGAGGCACUGACACGUGACGCCGUGUGGAUGAACCUGGAAAGCAUCCUGGGAAGUGAGAAGCCAGAUCCCAAAGGCCGCGCCUUGUAGGAUUCCUUUUGCGUGAAAUGUCGGGACUGGGCAAGUCCAGAGACAGAAAGCAGGCUGGUGGCUGGCAGGGGCUGGGGGGGACAGGGAGGGUCUCCCGGGCUGGGGGCAGGUGGGCGGGGCCCUCAGGCAGGUCUGGUGCCAGUGUCCUCCAGGGCCCGGAGGGAAAAGGACUGAGCCACCGGCAGGCGUGGGGACCGCACGCUUCCCCCGGCAUCUCCUCCCACACGGAGGGUUCCAGUACUUACCCUUCAGCAGCUCCCCAAUGAAGCCCGGACUGGUCCCGCAGAAGGCCUUAGCGGAGGGCCUGGAGGGGUGACUCAGCCUGACUCGGACUUGAGCCGCCCUGCUGAGGGAGGACAGACAGUCACGCGCCUGGCAGGACAUCUCACAGGUAUGCAGAAACCCGGCCGGCCUGAGUCACCACAGGGCUUGGACAGGGACAGGCCAGGGGCUGGGGCUGCAUCAGAGUCCCCCCCCACCCAGCCCUGGGCCCCAGCCCCAGAAUUCUCCCAACCUGGCCUCGCUGCCUCACCUGCCGUCCAGGUGUUUCUCCGGGCCCACGCUGAUGCCCCCUCCCGCCUCCCCUCCCCACCUGCUUCCUGCCCCCCGCCCCGCCAGACUCCAGGAGCACCCCAGGGCCCUCCACACCCUCGCUGCCUUCGCACCCCGCUCUGUGCUGGUGGGCACCGAGGCAGGUGGGGGUUCCUGUGAGUUGUUUAGCCUCAAGUGGGUUGCUGAAUUCAUGGAUUUUCAUAGUAUAAACAGAGUAACUUCAGGCUGAGGAGUACCACAAACCAAGAUCCCUCCAGGCAGUACAUCUGAGGUCCGGUUAGACUUUUUUGAGAAGGACAACUUACAUAACCGUGUGGAGAUGGGUCUAUUUGUCGGACGCUGGCAGGCUCAAACGCCAGAAGGUCAAAGGUCACAUGCUGCACAGCCCAUUCCGUGGCCUGUGUGGGAUGGGUAAGGGCAGAGACAGGCAGGUUGGUGGCUGCCGGGGCCCGGAGCAGGAGGCCAGUGACCAGUGACUGCUCACGGGCCCAGCGCUUUAUUUUGGGGUGGGGAGAAUGUUCUGGAACCAGAGAGACGUGGCGGGUGCACAACGCUGGACGUGCUAAAUGCCACCGAGCUGCUCCCGGGUUCAGUGAACCAGUGGUCUUGUACCAUGGAACCACCCCCCCAAAAAACCCAGACGCGUCCUGAGCGAGGGUCUGGCCUGGGGGAGGUGCCCUGAGGGGCAGGCUCUGCUCUGAGCGGUGGUCCUGCCACCCUCCGCAUUUCACAGGUGACAAAGCCGAGGUCCAACUGGCCCAGGGUCUCCCACUAGCACGUGUGAGCCUGGAUGCGAGUCCGGCGUCCGUGUGCCACGGGGCUGGUGUGACCCAGCACCGAUGUCAGAGGCCCCAGAUUCUGUUUUUAAAGCU